GACGAACGCUGGCGGCGUGCUUAACACAUGCAAGUCGAGCGGUAAGGCCCUUUCGGGGGUACGACGAGCGGCGAACGGGUGAGUAACACGUGGGUGACCUGCCCUCAGCUCUGGGAUAAGCCUGGGAAACCGGGUACUAAUACUGGAUAUGACUCCAUGACGCAUGUUGUGGGGUGGAAAGCCUUGUGCGGCUGAGGAUGGGCCCGCGGCCUAUCAGCUUGUUGGUGGGGUGAUGGCCUACCAAGGCGACGACGGGUAGCCGGCCUGAGAGGGC
rnacentral:rRNA from 1 species